rnacentral:rRNA from 1 species
GUACACAAAAAUGCACAUACUGUGAGCUCGAUGAGUAGGGCGGGACACGUGGUAUCCUGUCUGAAUAUGGGGGGACCAUCCUCCAAGGCUAAAUACUCCUGACUGACCGAUAGUGAACCAGUACCGUGAGGGAAAGGCGAAAAGAACCCCGGCGAGGGGAGUGAAAAAGAACCUGAAACCGUGUACGUACAAGCAGUGGGAGCCUCUUUUAUGGGGUGACUGCGUACCUUUUGUAUAAUGGGUCAGCGACUUAUAUUCUGUAGCAAGGUUAACCGAAUAGGGGAGCCGAAGGGAAACCGAGUCUUAACUGGGCGUUAAGUUGCAGGGUAUAGACCCGAAACCCGGUGAUCUAGCCAUGGGCAGGUUGAAGGUUGGGUAACACUAACUGGAGGACCGAACCGACUAAUGUUGAAAAAUUAGCGGAUGACUUGUGGCUGGGGGUGAAAGGCCAAUCAAACCGGGAGAUAGCUGGUUCUCCCCGAAAGCUAUUUAGGUAGCGCCUCGUGAAUUCAUCUCCGGGGGUAGAGCACUGUUUCGGCAAGGGGGUCAUCCCGACUUACCAACCCGAUGCAAACUGCGAAUACCGGAGAAUGUUAUCACGGGAGACACACGGCGGGUGCUAACGUCCGUCGUGAAGAGGGAAACAACCCAGACCGCCAGCUAAGGUCCCAAAGUCAUGGUUAAGUGGGAAACGAUGUGGGAAGGCCCAGACAGCCAGGAUGUUGGCUUAGAAGCAGCCAUCAUUUAAAGAAAGCGUAAUAGCUCACUGGUCGAGUCGGCCUGCGCGGAAGAUGUAACGGGGCUAAACCAUGCACCGAAGCUGCGGCAGCGACGCUUAUGCGUUGUUGGGUAGGGGAGCGUUCUGUAAGCCUGCGAAGGUGUGCUGUGAGGCAUGCUGGAGGUAUCAGAAGUGCGAAUGCUGACAUAAGUAACGAUAAAGCGGGUGAAAAGCCCGCUCGCCGGAAGACCAAGGGUUCCUGUCCAACGUUAAUCGGGGCAGGGUGAGUCGACCCCUAAGGCGAGGCCGAAAGGCGUAGUCGAUGGGAAACAGGUUAAUAUUCCUGUACUUGGUGUUACUGCGAAGGGGGGACGGAGAAGGCUAUGUUGGCCGGGCGACGGUUGUCCCGGUUUAAGCGUGUAGGCUGGUUUUCCAGGCAAAUCCGGAAAAUCAAGGCUGAGGCGUGAUGACGAGGCACUACGGUGCUGAAGCAACAAAUGCCCUGCUUCCAGGAAAAGCCUCUAAGCAUCAGGUAACAUCAAAUCGUACCCCAAACCGACACAGGUGGUCAGGUAGAGAAUACCAAGGCGCUUGAGAGAACUCGGGUGAAGGAACUAGGCAAAAUGGUGCCGUAACUUCGGGAGAAGGCACGCUGAUAUGUAGGUGAAGCGACUUGCUCGUGGAGCUGAAAUCAGUCGAAGAUACCAGCUGGCUGCAACUGUUUAUUAAAAACACAGCACUGUGCAAACACGAAAGUGGACGUAUACGGUGUGACGCCUGCCCGGUGCCGGAAGGUUAAUUGAUGGGGUUAGCGGUAACGCGAAGCUCUUGAUCGAAGCCCCGGUAAACGGCGGCCGUAACUAUAACGGUCCUAAGGUAGCGAAAUUCCUUGUCGGGUAAGUUCCGACCUGCACGAAUGGCGUAAUGAUGGCCAGGCUGUCUCCACCCGAGACUCAGUGAAAUUGAACUCGCUGUGAAGAUGCAGUGUACCCGCGGCAAGACGGAAAGACCCCGUGAACCUUUACUAUAGCUUGACACUGAACAUUGAGCCUUGAUGUGUAGGAUAGGUGGGAGGCUUUGAAGUGUGG